UGCAGGAUAGCUCAGUUGGUAGAGCAAGAUACCCUUAAUCUCAGGGUUCUGAGUUCAAGCCCCAUGUUGGGAGAAA